GCCGGGUGUGGGGGUGCACACCUGUAGUCCUAGCUACUCAGGAGGCUGAGGCAGGAGGAUCACUUGAGCCCAGGAGAUUGAGGCUGCAGUCAGCUAUGAUCAUGCCACUGCACUCCAGCCUAGGUGACAGAGUGGGACCCUGUCUCAA
rnacentral:SRP_RNA from 1 species